UGAGUGCGAGCUGCUACGGCAGCGAAGUUGGUGACGUCAAGCUUCCAAGAAAAGCCCUAUACCCGUUAAGGCAUCAUGGCCUGUACCCGAAACCGACACAGGUGGGGUGGUAGAGAAUACCGAGGGGCGCGAGGUAACUCUCUCUAAGGAACUCGGCAAAAUGGCCCCGUAACUUCGGGAGAAGGGGUGCCACCGCAAGGUGGUCGCAGUGAAGAGGCCCAGGCGACUGUUUACCAAAAACACAGGUCUCCGCUAAGUCGCAAGACGAUGUAUGGGGGCUGACGCCUGCCCAGUGCCGGAAGGUUAAGGAAGCUGGUCAGCGCAAGCGAAGCUGGCGACUGAAGCCCCGGUGAACGGCGGCCGUAACAAUAACGGUCCUAAGGUAGCGAAAUUCCUUGUCGGGUAAGUUCCGACCCGCACGAAAGGCGUAACGAUCUGGGCGCUGUCUCGGAGAGAGGCUCGGCGAAAUAGAAUUGUCUGUGAAGAUGCGGACUACGUGCACCCGGACAGAAAGACCCUAUGAAGCUUUACUGUAGCUUGGUAUUGUGCCCGGGCUCUGAAUGCGCAGGAUAGGUGGGAGGCUUUGAUCAUCGGCUUGCGGGUCGAUGUGAGCCAACGGUGAGAUACCACUCUUUCAGAGCUAGGGUUCUAACAGUCACCCGUUAUCCGGGGACUGGACAGUAUCAGGUGGGCAGUUUGACUGGGGCGGUCGCCUCCUAAAAGGUAACGGAGGCGCGCAAAGGUCUGCUCAGGCUGGUUGGAAAUCAGCCGACGAGUGUAAAAGCAGAAGCAGGCUUGACUGUGAGACCUACAAGUCGAACAGGGAGGAAACUCGGCUUUAGUGAUCCGACGGUUCUGCGUGGAAGGGCCGUCGCUCAACGGAUAAAAGUUACUCUAGGAUAACAGGCUGAUCUCCCCCAAGAGUUCACAUCGACGGGGAGGUUUGGCACCUCGAUGUCGGCUCAUCGCAACCUGGGGCUGAAGUCGGUCCCAAGGGUUGGGCUGUUCGCCCAUUAAAGCGGUACGCGAGCUGGGUUCAGAACGUCGUGAGACAGUUCGGUCCAUAUCCGGUGCAUGCGCAGGAAUAUUGAGAGGAGUUCUCCCUAGUACGAGAGGACCGGGAGGAACGCACCUCUGGUGUACCAGUUAUCGUGCCAACGGUAAACGCUGGGUAGCCAUGUGCGGAGAGGAUAACCGCUGAAAGCAUCUAAGUGGGAAGCCCACCUCAAGAUGAGUAUUCCCAUGGCGUUAGCCAGUAAGGUCACGGGAAGAACACCCGUUGAUAGGCUCUAUGUGGAAGCGCAGUAAUGCGUGAAGCAGAGGAGUACUAAUAGGCCGAGGGC
rnacentral:rRNA from 1 species